rnacentral:lncRNA from 1 species
CUGCCUCAUUCCCGACUUUCGCCCGCGGCUCCCAGUUUUCUUGGGACCAAACCCGACAAAGCUAAUCCCAAUUCCACAUGACAGCCCUUCCCGAAGAAGAAAUAGGUCUCCCCUCCCUGUGCCAAACGUGCCUCAGUUUCCCUCCAGUCAGAGGAGCGGGAGAUGGGAGCCGGGAAGGAGGAAAGGAGAAGGGGAAGAGGGCGAGGAGGAGCCACGACUUCCUGGUCAGGAAGGAAAAGCUGGGGGAACCUGGCAGGCGGAGCCCACCCCUACUCGGGCGGGGCGGGGCUGCGGCUGCUGCUGGAACCCGAGCCUAGGAGGGAGGGAGCGCGGGUGGGAGGGCCAAACUGGGAGCCCCGCGGCUCCGAAGCUACCGGAGGCAUUCUGCGCACUCCCAGUCGGAAGGGACCGUCCAGUGCUAGCGGGGCUACGCAAAGGACUCCAGAGGGCCCAAUCCAAUAUUAUUCUACCCAGCCUAACAGUCUAUCCACUCUCCCGUGACUCAGCCGGGCCCAAGUCAACACAUCUUUAUUAAAUGCUCGCCUUGUGGAAGGCACUGGGGACCAAGGAUGAAAAAGGAAAACAGUCCCUUGCCCUCAAGGCUCUCAGAGUCUGUCGCAGGAAGACAUCACCUACAUGCAAGAUAGAUCUUUAAUAACUAAGUGAAUUGGGAAGGAGUCCCCAGACGAAACUGGAGCCCAAGUGGAACUCUGAAGAGAAUGAGAGGUUGCAAGGGGGAGUACAUUCCAGGCCGAGGGGAAAGCGAGUGGAAAAGCUGGAGGCCCCAAAUGGGAGUUGGGAAGCCAGUGUGACUGGAACAGAGGUCAAAUACUAGGUGUCCCGGCCAAAUGCAUCCUGCUACCCUCCCCUGAGCAUUCUGAACCAGAUUAGAUUGCAGCUGGGAAAUAUUUAACAGGAUCAAUCAAAAUACAACAACACAGAGAUAAUGUGAAUCUGUGGUUUUCUAAGUCAAUAUGCGGCCCACAGGGAUAAGCCUCUAUUUGAGUCUGACACCACUGAACUGGAACCAAGGAAAGGUAGACCAGAGGCAAGUGGUGGAGGAUUUUUAAGACGACAAACAGGAGUUUGUAUUUUCUCCUAGAAUGCAAGAGUUGAUGUUUCUUGAACAAGGAACUGGCAGGGUUAGAUCUGAGCUUUAGGAAGAUUAUUUUGGCAGCUGGGAUGGAGGAUGGAUUGGAGAGGGGGCAGAGGAGGAAGCCAGAAGUACAUUUAGGAGAUGUGCAAUAGUUCAGGCAAGAGAUGAGGAGGCCCCGAGCUCAGGGGGAUGGCUGUGCGAAUGGAGAAAAGGGGGGAUGGCUGUGCGAAUGGAGAAAAGGGGGGAUGGCUGUGCGAAUGGAGAAAAGGGGGGAUGGCUGUGAGAAUGGAGAAAAGGGGGGAUGGCUGUGAGAAUGGAGAAAAGGGGGGAUGGCUGUGCAAAUGGAGAAAAGGGGGGAUGGCUGUGAGAAUGGAGAAAAGGGGGGAUGGCUGUGCAAAUGGAGAA